GGCGAAUAUGCCCAAAUGUGAGGCUGUGAUAAAUUGUUUUCAAUAUAUCGCGGUGAUUUCAAAUUCUUCCCGUCCUCCUCUUCCUUGGGACACCUAUAUUAAGGACCCGAAACACCAUCGGUUUUCCAUUCAAUUACCAAUUGUAAAAGCUUUCCGAACUAUUGGAAAUCCAAAAUUCUAUUUUUCUAUUUCUAGAGCUUUCUCUUGCUCAGCAAUGGCGUUCAAGAAAACCCUAGCUAUGCGCCUCUUCAGAAUCUCGAAAAUAUCAAAUCAGUCCCUGGAGAACUGUCGCAUUUCCUCUCCGCCCGUCCAGACCCGAAUCCCUCAAAACCCGGGCAAAACCAACAUUGCUCCUGAUCCAGGAGAUAAUGGCAUAUUCGGGCGGUUGUUCCACAAGAGAGCCAUUUUCCAGAUGCCUAUCUCGUCGGAUCUCCGGGGAUUCCAAAUCGGGGAGAACCUGGUGGAAAAACUCAGGUUGUUUGACAUCUUAAAGGAUAGAAUCAACUUGGACGGUCAGAUACCUCCGGAAACCAAGUAUUUAGAUGGAUCUCGGCAGGCGAGGGAAUCGGAGAAGGAGGGUUUGACGGUGGAGGACGCGAAGAAGUUACUGAGGGCGGCGCAAUUAGAUAUGGUGAAAUCAAGGCUCAGAGAGGUGCAGAAUAGCUGGAUACCUUAUUCUGAUUUCCUUCGGAUCUGCGGAGAAGGCUGUUCGGAUCGUGAACAAGGAAUUCGGAUCGCGAAAACGCUUGAUGAAUCCGGAACUGUAAUCAUCUUGGGAAAUAUCGUGUUUCUCAAGCCAGAGCAGGUAAAAUUAUUUGUACCAUUUGAUUCCAAUUCCAAUUUAUAAUUGAAUAUGUUAUUUCUGCUUAUUAAUUUGUUUUACAGAUAAACAUUAGCAAUAGCAUGCAUACAUAUGGUCGUUGCAAAGUGAUUUCAAUUAACCAGAUAAUUACAUUCCUUAUUUUUAAGCCUUUUAAACUUGGGGACUACCGAAAACUGAUGCGGUUUUAUGAUUAUUUUUUUGUGUGUUUUCUUUUUCGACAGGAGAAUGAAACUUUGUUGUUACGCAAGAUCAGUUUCCACAGUGACAAGAUUUGUUUCACCUGUGCCAUAAGGCCUAUGGGAUCAAACCCAGAAACCUUUGCCUUGCCACCUGACCUGCCCACCCCAAAAUUUAAUUACAACAUAUAAUUUUAUUAAAUUAAAAUGAAGAAUGUGAAGGGGAAAAUGGGUAUUUUUUGACGGGAAAGGAAAAAAAAUUUUGAAGGGAGGGUCCUGGUUUAUUUGAUGAGGAAAGAAAAAAGAUUUGCCUACAUUUAAAACUAAUGAUCUGAUUAAAAGAAAUCAACAUUAGCUUUAUAAUGAAUUAGAGAUUUUUAUUCCUUAUUCUUGAUAUGUCACAGAAGAGAACAGAAAGGAAUCAGUGUUUUUAUGUCCUUUCCCCUUUUACCCAUUUUGAAGCUCUUGGCUUUUUCUGGCUCAAUUUCGUCCGUUUUGUUUUUUGUCCUUUCUGUUUUUGAAGAGUCUAGCACAGUAAUGUGGUUUACAGAUCGACCAGAUUUUAUCAAAUGGCGUGCUAACAUUCACAGCUGUUUUCUUUAAACUUUUUGUUUUUCACUAAUUAUUUUAUAAUAGUUCACUUGUAUUUCAGUGUUCUCCAUUCUGAAGUUUAAGGGUUUUCUAAGCUUGUUCUAAUUUACUGUUAUAUAAAAGCCAGUAAAGAGUUGUAUAGAGGUAUGUUUUACCCAAACAAAAUUUCUUGUUUCUUAUUGUUAUUACAGGUGGUGAAAGCCAUUGGAGGACUAAUCCCAUUGCCAGCAACCAGCCCCAACGAUCCAAGAAGAAAGGAGCUAGAACACAUGGAGAAACAGAAAGUUGCAAUCGACAAAAAAGCUGAUGCCCUUGUUCGCCGAGAACUUUGGUGUGGGCUUGGUUAUUUUAUUGUCCAAACAGCUGCCUUUAUGAGGUUGACCUUCUGGGAACUCUCAUGGGAUGUGAUGGAGCCUAUUUGCUUCUAUGUCACAUCCUUAUAUUGCAUGGCAGGAUACGCCUUUUUCCUCAGGACAUCCAAAGACCCUUCUUUUGAAGGAUUCUACCAAAGCAGGUUUAAUGUCAAGCAGAAAAAGCUCAUGAAGCUCCACAAUUUUGAUGCCGCGAGGUAUAAUGAGCUUCGAAAAAUUUGUUACCCCUGCUUGUCAUCUACAGGGCAGACUCCCCCUACAAUUUCUUCACUUGAUAAGGUUUGCUACUCAAAUUGAAAGAUAACAAAACAUACAAGAGAAAUAUACAGUUUUGUUUAAUUUUAGCCCUCUGUCGUGUAAUUUGAGAACUAGGUCCGGCUUCAUGUAAAUCUGACAUAGAGAGUCAUUCCCCAUUAUUUACGCUUUUAUUCUUAUGGAAAUAUGACAAACCGUUCCAGUUUCUAACUUAAAAUUAAAUUAGUCGACCAAAAACUAUUUAGCAAGUGGCAUGAGUGUCUUGCCUUCAACAAAUUGAAAGUUUUCGGACUACUACGAGUCCAGUUUGGGCCAAAUUGGAA
rnacentral:misc_RNA from 1 species